AUAUGGGAUCUUCCCGGACCGGGGCACGAACCCGUGUCCCCUGCAUCGGCAGGCGGACUCUCAACCACUGCGCCACCAGGGAAGCCCUGAUCCUUUUAAGGCUUGUUUUUAAGCUCGUUCACACUGCAUUUGGGUAGCCUUUUCUCUGGGGCUAAUCCAGCCCCACUUUCAAGGCGUGGCUGUUCAGAGGUCCGUGAAAGGCUCUGUAUGUUAGAGCGGCCUCUCCGCUCUGGCUGUGAGGAAUCAGAUGACUCGGCAGCUCUAGGUGAGCCUGGUGAUCGCUCACCAUGCGGCUCCUCAGCGGCUGUUCUUUCCCUGGAAGUUCUGGGGUGGCUUCCCAGGCUCCCCACACGGAUGCGCAAAGCAGCACUCGACCAAGAUCCUCAGGGGCUCACGUGCAGCUCCUCCUCUCUGGUACCAGGCCUUGCAAAUUCUGGCUGUCUCAGUUUCUCCAAAGGCCGGGCUCUCAGAGUCUGAACACUGCUUCCAGAUAGAAAGCCUAGGCACCUGGAGGGCUCACCUGUCCUUCCUGUUUAACAAUCCUGAACACUGCUGGUGGGUUGAGUCCAUGUUGAAUGUGUCCUGCCAGCCUGACCUUAAGGAAGUCCUGGCUUACCCUUGGAUAUAACGGAAACCAGUGACGGGAAAUACGGCAGGACCAGGGAGAAGCUGUUGCCCAGCUGCUGGCUGGGUCGCAGCACAGGCCCCAUGACCAAAGCAUCCCCGCUCAUGUCCAGCCGCUGGCCCCAUGCUCGGGUCUCCAGGCCCAGCUGAACAUCUGCACACGGGUGACUGCUGACUCAGUAACUGCCGGCGCCCUCCCAGUGGGAGGAGACUGUGGGGCAGCUGCCAGCGCCUCCAAGAUCGGGAAACAUUCAGGGAGCCGGCCUCCCUCCUUCCACAGCCUGCAAAGCCAGCCCCUGCGAGCCCUGCAGAUCUCAAGGAAACCCUGCAGCCAAAGGUGCAGGCUCUGGGGUCUUCACCCGGCUCCCGUGAUAUCUGAUGGGAGCUGACCACUCAUUCCAGGGUGGGUCCUAAGGACCCUGCUGACCACUCCCUGGUCCUUUAAUAAAGAAUUCUGAGCACACACGGCCCAGUGGAGCCAGGCAGGCUCAGGCUCAGGUGUGCUGUGCCCAUCUACCCUCCCUCCAGCCCCUUCUGAGACCCCUGUGCCCCUCCUCACCCCCCCCGCCCACCCCAGGACCGUGGAGGGAGGAAAGAGACAGGAGGCCACACACAUAGCCUGCCGUUUAUAGAUCUCUGCCCGUCUCGUCCAUCCAUCCAUCCAUCUAUA